UUUCCUUUUGAAGGUGAUGGAGAUAUCCAAUAAUAAUGGGUACAAAAAUCCCGCAACAGCAGCAGUAGCAUUUGAAUCAGAAAAUGGAUUUAAUAAUGAGGAAGGUCAAUCAUCUGAAUCUGUCACAAAUGCAUGUAACUCUACUGGCCCUCCUCCUCAAGAUGAUGACAGUUCUGAUACUUCUCUCAAGUUGGGGCUACCCUAUACAGGCUGAAGGGAAGAGCAAAACCAAGCUUCUUAAAGCACGGUGUAGCUAUUUUUGUAUGUUAUGGGAGAAAAAAAAAGGUACUACGUACUGACUACUAAUAUGUUGCAAUGUAAAAGCUAACCCCAAGAAUUUCAUGUUAAGUAUGUAAUUGGUGUCAUCCCAUGUAUUCGUCUCUUUUAUUUAAUGGUAUGUAUCUAGUAGUAGCUUAAUUUGCCAUAAAAAUAUUUUGAUUCAACUUGGCAGCUUGUAAUUAUACACGGGCUUAAUUAUUCUCAGCUUGUUUGUUGUCGCCUUCA